AUUGAACGCUGGCGGCAGGCCUAACACAUGCAAGUCGAACGAGUGGCGGACGGGUGAGUACUGUCUGGGAAACUGCCUGAUGGAGGGGGAUAACUACUGGAAACGGUAGCUAAUACCGCAUACCAUCAGAUGUGCCCAGAUGGGAUUAGCUUGUUGGUGGGGUAAAGGCUCACCUAGGCGACGCUCCCUAGCUGGUCUGAGAGGAUGACCAGCCACACUGGAACUGAGACACGGCCCAGACUCCUACGGGAGGCAGCAGUGGGGAAUAUUCGGCAAUGGGCGAAAGCCUGAUCGAGCCACGCCGCGUGAAUGAAGAAGGUCUUCGGGUCGUAAAGCACUUUUGGUGGGGAAGCGGUACCUGAAGAAAAAGCACCGGCUAACUCCGUGCCAGCAGCCGCGGUAAUUC
rnacentral:rRNA from 1 species